AUACAGAGGGUGCGAGCGUUAAUCGGAAUUACUGGGCGUAAAGCGCGCGUAGGCGGUCUAUUAAGUCAGAUGUGAAAUCCCAGGGCUCAACCUUGGAACUGCAUCUGAUACUGGUAGACUAGAGUUUUGGAGAGGGAAGUAGAAUUUCAGGUGUAGCGGUGAAAUGCAUAGAGAUCUGAAGGAAUACCAGUGGCGAAGGCGACUUCCUGGCCAAAAACUGACGCUGAGGUGCGAAAGCGUGGGUAGCAAACGGGAGUAGAUACCCCAGUAGUCC
rnacentral:rRNA from 1 species